rnacentral:rRNA from 1 species
GACGAACGCUGGCGGCGUGCCUAAUACAUGCAAGUCGAACGCUUCUUUUUUCCAUCGGAGCUUGCUCCACCGGAAAAAAGAGGAGUGGCGAACGGGUGAGUAACACGUGGGUAACCUGCCCAUCAGAAGGGGAUAAUACUUGGAAACAGGUGCUAAUACCGUAUAACAAUCGAAACCGCAUGGUUUUGAUUUGAAAGGCGCUUUCGGGUGUCGCUGAUGGAUGGACCCGCGGUGCAUUAGCUAGUUGGUGAGGUAACGGCUCACCAAGGCGACGAUGCAUAGCCGACCUGAGAGGGUGAUCGGCCACAUUGGGACUGAGACACGGGCCCAAACUCCUACGGGAGGCAGCAGUGAGGGAAUAUUGGGUCAAUGGACGCAAGUCUGAACCAGCC